AACCUGCUUUUUGCUGAAAGCCAUGGAUCUAUAGUCACAUAAUCAAGUCACCUAGUGGCAAAUAAAGGCUUUUAUUAAAAUACAACAUGGAUACAUUUAAACAAAUUGCACUCAUUAGGGCAUGUAAAAUGAGAAGAGAUUGAUGUCAAUGAGGUCUUCCAAGGGCCCACGCAAUGCUAGGCCAGCUGGAGAAGCGGCUUUAGGCAGCGCACGUACCAGCAGUAAGACAGGAGGCAUGUUCAUGUAAAGACAACACAAGACUGGAACGUGUCAGCUAUAAACUUUAUAUGAAACUUGGACAAUGAGGACUUCUUUGCCUUCAAGAAGAUUACAUCAACGUUAAAUUCAGACAUGGGCCAAUACAUAAAAUAGGGAAAAUAAAUUAACAAGAAUAUUAAGAAAUUAUUUACAACUUAAACUGUACAUGUUUUACUUGUUGCCGGAUUUAGCAGAAACAAAGUCCUCAUAAAAAUAACAUUUUAUAGAGAAAAGAAACAAACAAAAAAAAUGUACUACUUAUUACAUUACCAAAUAUUCAUCCAGUAUUUGAAGCAAAACAAUCUGGAUACCUUGAAUGAAAUCUUCACUUUAUACUGAUUCCAGUACAUCGAUGCAGAUAUGAAACAAACCACUUAUGUCUAGAAAACACUGUACAAUAGAGGGAGGGGUGGUCGGGUAGCAAAAAAAAAAAAAAGUUUAAUGCUGUUGCAUUGUCCCAAUAUUGGAUGGGUUGAUUUAGUAAGGGUCCAAAGCCAUUUUCUAAAACCAGUGUUUUAAAAAGAAGACAAUGUUUAACUGAAAAUGGGAAUUGCCUAUCAACUGCCUAUAAUCAAUAAUACAAUGUUUGCAUACAUUUAAUGUUAUAUUACAUUUCGGUUCACAGUAUAUUAGCAUAACGUCUCCCAACGCUUUACACCGUCUUACUGUUGUGAGACUAAUGACUGCUGAGGUAGACCUUGCUUCUAGACAGAUAAUUGUAUUACAUUUGAGUUCCUUCAUUUCCAGUUACUGGUGCACUGCUCCGCUGUGCAAGGAGUCGAUACUGGAAGAGGAUACAACCGAGGUCUGCAAGGAAUCUUCUUCCACACAAAAUAUGGACUCAGCAGGCCCGCAGUGCAUCCUGAACACGUUAGCUCAUUUACUGCUGGACAGAGAAUACACGCUGCUGAUUGGACGCCACCUGCGGCCUAUCGUUCUGGACUUGAUGGAAAGAAAUGCAGACAUCAUUAAAGCAGAUGGCCGAAUCAACCAUGACCUACAUGAAAGACGUGUGUGGCUGUGAGUAAACUCCUGGAGGUCAGCCCUGAUGCACUCCCGUGGUAUUUAACAGGUACCCGUCUAUAGCAAUUUUGGCAUCUAUUGUCAGCUUGACAUCUACUGGCAACAGGGAGUCUUCGUCCUGGUAACCAGGGAAACCAAGCUGCUGCUGACAGACCCAAGCCAAAGAAUGAAGACAGAGGACAGGGCCUUGAAGGAAGGGCCUUGUCACUCACGUAAGACUUCCAUUCCAGGGAGCUUAUGUUUGUAACAUUUGCGUCUUUAUUGUUCGUUGGUAGCAUUCUACUAGCGUUCUUCCAUAAUUUACCCUUCUGCUGACUCUACAUCAAGAAACUGUGCUGUCUUCAUCUUUCUUAGGUUGUUUUGGUAGAAGGCCCGGAAACGUCCUCAAUCCUUGCCACUUUGUCAGUCAACAAAUUAUACAGGGCUGAUUUUGCUACUUGAUCUUGUCAGGUCUCAGAAGGUCCAUGGAAAAUCACAUCAGAAAACCAGCCAGCCAGCCCUCUGGUUGUUAAUUAGCUUUCCGCUGGAUGCUGAUCAAGUCAAUAGCAAAUUGAUUGAUUGUUUUCCCUUGUAGAGCGCUUGGCCUUCAGUGUGGCGGAGGCUGAAUGUUGGAGGUGUCAUGUGAGGACAGCCUGUAGUAAUGACCUAUUUUUUAAAUCCCUUGCAGAGACUU